rnacentral:rRNA from 1 species
CAGCCGCCGCGGUAACACCGAGGGUGCGAGCGUUAAUCGGAUUUACUGGGCGUAAAGCGUGCGUAGGCGGCUUUUUAAGUCGGAUGUGAAAUCCCUGAGCUUAACUUAGGAAUUGCAUUCGAUACUGGGAAGCUAGAGUAUGGGAGAGGAUGGUAGAAUUCCAGGUGUAGCGGUGAAAUGCGUAGAGAUCUGGAGGAAUACCGAUGGCGAAGGCAGCCAUCUGGCCUAAUACUGACGCUGAGGUACAAAAGCAUGGGGAGCAAACAGGAUUAGAUACCCCCGUAGUCCCUGUCUCUUAUAC